UUGAUUGGUCGAAAGACCCUUAUCAGAUUCUACCACCUCUGUGAACCGCUUGACCUCCGGGUUAAUAAUCAAACAUCAGUGUAACGAACGUAAGAGUAUCUUAAUUAAACAA
rnacentral:misc_RNA from 1 species